rnacentral:misc_RNA from 1 species
AACGCAUAUUGCGCCUCUAUUAACAUGGGGGCAUGUCUGUCUGAGUGUCUGCAUAAUCGAAUAAGCCAUUCCUUUACUUGAGGAAGGCUUGUUUUGGGUCUUUUCGCUUCUGGGCGUGGCCUUGAAAACAGCCCUGUUUGGGUCUCUAUAGCAUGGACUGGAGUCUGUUGACCAUACCGUGUGCCGAGAUUCAGUUAUCCAAAUCUUGACAUCAGAUCAGAUAAGGUUACCGCCUGAACUUAA